AGAUUGAACGCUGGCGGCAUGCCUUACACAUGCAAGUCGAACGGACUUAAGGGGCUUGCUCCUUAAGUUAGUGGCGGACGGGUGAGUAAUGCAUCGGAACGUACCCAGUCGUGGGGGAUAACGUAGCGAAAGUUACGCUAAUACCGCAUACGUCCUGAGGGAGAAAGCGGGGGAUCGCAAGACCUCGCGCGAUUGGAGCGGCCGAUGUCGGAUUAGCUAGUUGGUGGGGUAAAGGCCUACCAAGGCGACGAUCCGUAGCUGGUCUGAGAGGAUGAUCAGCCACACUGGUACUGAGACACGGACCAGACUCCUACGGGAGGCAGCAGUGAGGAAUAUUGGUCAAUGGGCGCAAGCCUGAACCAGCCAUCCCGCGUGCAGGAUGACGGCCCUAUGGGUUGUAAACUGCUUUUGUACACCAAGAAAACUCGCUACGUGUAGCGAUCUGACGGUAGUGUAUGAAUAAGCAUCGGCUAACUCCGUGCCAGCAGCCGCGGUAAUACGGAGGAUGCAAGCGUUAUCCGGAUUCAUUGGGUUUAAAGGGUGCGUAGGCGGCCUUUUAAGUCAGUGGUGAAAUCCUGCCGCUUAACGGUAGAAUUGCCAUUGAUACUGAAAGGCUUGAGUCCAGUUGAGGUAAGCGGAAUGUGUAGUGUAGCGGUGGAAUGCUUAGAUAUUACACAGAACACCAAUUGCGAAGGCAGCUUACUAAACUGUAACUGACGCUGAUGCACGAAAGCGUGGGGAGCGAACAGGAUUAGAUACCCUGGUAGUCCACGCCGUAAACGAUGUUCACUCGCUGUUUGCGAUACACAGCAAGCGGCCAGCGAAAGCAUUAAGUGAGCCACCUGGGGGAGUACGAUC
rnacentral:rRNA from 1 species